GACGAACGCUGGCGGCGUGCUUAACACAUGCAAGUCGAGCGGAGCGGCGAACGGGUGAGUAACGCGAGAGUAACUGCCCCCCUCUCUGGGAUAACAGUUGGAAACGGCUGCGAAUACCGGAUAGUGGGGGAUGACUCGCGGCCUAUCAGCUGGUUGGUGGGGUAGUGGCCUACCACGGAGGCGACGGGUAGCCGGCCUGAGAGGGCGACCGGCCACAUUGGGCUGAGAUACGGACCAGACUCCUACGGGGGGCAGCAGGGGGGAAUAUUGCACAAUGGGGGAACCCCUGAUGCGACAGCGCGCGUGCGGGAUGACGGCCUUCGGGUUGUAAACCGCUUUCAGCCAUGACGCGGUAGUGGCAGAAGAAGCACCGGCUAACUACGUGCCAGCAGCCGCGGUAAUAC
rnacentral:rRNA from 1 species